rnacentral:lncRNA from 1 species
CUUAUCAUAUUUAUUGUCUGAAAGAUUAUAUAUUGGAAACAUAAUUUUUAUUACACGUUGCAAAUAUAACACAGUUACAAAUCAAAUUUCUUCCAUCAUAAUGUUUCACGAGAAGAUUGUCAUCAAAAUUUCACAUUACAUAUGAGAAGAUGUACAAGAGAAAGUUCACUAGUUAUAAUAAUUGAUUUUGCUUUUACAUUUGCAAUGUUUAAAAACACUGUCCGAUGGAGAAAUGCAAAACAACGGUAUACUUAUUCUUAGUUGCAAAACUACAGCGGGAUAUGGGCGUUGAACUUGUCCAUUGGUUAAGAAUAGACAUUGCGUCGCAGAAUUUCUAUUCGGGAGACUUACCUGAAGAGAAAAAUAUUGAUUUUCAAUAUAAUUACGUAAGUGGCCAUUUUCCAUUUCUGAGAAGAAAUCAAUAUCGUCAUAAGAAUCAAUCAACAUCGCCAAAAAUCAAAACAAUAUAGCAAAGCUUCUGAAUUAUAUGAACACGCUCUGUUGAUUCCUUUAUAUGCAUUAUAAGCGUUAAGGAAAGAUGAGAGCCGUUGUGAGAGAGCCACCUAUGCCAGUCGACCGUUCACUUUUUCUAAAAUUGGUCACAGACAGCCGGAUCUUGCCUAAGGAAAGCAGUAAAUCGCAACGAUCCUCUCUUCUGGAAGAGAUGUGCAGGGUGGGGCACAGUACAUUGCCAGAGAAAAUAAAUAACUCAUCCAAUAUUCCUUCUAUGAUGAUGAUAUAAAUGACGACAUCAAGGAUGGAUAUCUACAAGGACAAAGGAAACUAAUUUAGGCUAAGGAUUAUUUUUUAAUAGAAUAAACACUUAUAUUAGUUGUAUAUACUUGCUUAGUAAUAUAUAGAGUGCCUAUAACGUGUAUUUCUGAGAACAAAUAAAUCACAUAUAAUUUACAAAAAGGAACUUGACGCGGCGUUUAAUAUUGCUCUUAUCGUCGGAUAAUGACAAGGUAUUUAUUAUCUAUAGGCAUACGAAUUUUUCAUUCAUUUUUUUCCUUUCUGAAGGACCAACAUUAUGAACGUGUACGUGUACACCUGCAAAAGAAACUUCAAGUUCGUCGCAUUUCCUUUUAAUUAAUUCCAAUUAAUAUAAACCUUAUUCAUUGUUCAUCGGAUAGAAUAGAAAAAGAACGUGAAGAUAAGAAUAUAUUAUUAUAUCAUCUUUUCUUUUUUUUCAAUUCUUCGUGUACCAUCGAGAAAAUUAUACACCGGGCAGUGAAAUACGUAGAAAAAUUGGCAAAAAUUUUGAAAAUUUAAUAUCGUUCCUUAUUCUUGAACAAUAUUUUUAGCCAUUAAUCUUUUACAUGUUAUUUUUUCUCUUAAACAGUGUACAAAGAAUAACGUUUCGUUAAUGCCAGAAACACGAGUAUUUCGAUGAAUUCGAUAGGAUACGUCUUCGAUCUUAAAUUUAAUCUUUCUCACCGUUUAUCUGCAAGUUUAAUACGAAGUGUCCAAAAUAUCGCAACUCCAGAGUAUUAUUAUCUACGAUAAAUUUAUUAAAGAUUUCUAUUUGCUCUAGCUGAACUUUCACGGUGUACCAAUAAUUUGUAUCGAAUACUAUUGUCUAGUUUAUGUCAAUUCAACGUAUGCCUAACAAUACGUCAAUUUUGGAAUUAUUUCAUUCCUCAACAAAUUCGUAAACACCUAAUUAUUCGAAAUAUUUUUAAAUAUUUAUUGUUCUGAGACGCACAGACGAAAGUACAGAGCCUGAGAACCAUCAAAAAUCCACGAAUUCACACGAUAGCGAGACAUUUCAUUUUUUUUUUUUUUUUCGUCGUCGAUCCUAUGACUACGAUAUAAAACGGCACGACGUCUACGUCUAAACUUUUAUCUAUGUACAAUAAACGUUUGGCGAGAUCCUCGUGAAAAGAAACGUCGAUCGAAAUCGGUCGUCGCUCGAGGUUCGCCGUAAGACUUCUAUCGCUGAUUUUUUUCAGGAUCGAUCAGCGCUAUAACUAAAAUUUACAUCUAGAUUAUUCAAGUUAUUUGCACGAGUUGUCGUUUGAAAGAUUUCCAAUAUUCAAAUAGGUUCGAGCGAAAAAUUUCCCCUCAUUUUUUUUCUUCCUCCAUUCCACUCUAAAACACGACUCUCGUUUUCGUUCUACAUUCCUGUAUGGCGACAUUAAAACUAAUCCGUUCACGUAUACCUUUUGGAAAGAGACGUUUCGAAAAAUAGCAUAAACGUCGAU